rnacentral:lncRNA from 1 species
UUUCUAGGAUAUUCUUUAACUAGUAAAGCUUAUAGGGUGUUCAAUAGAAGAACACUAAUAAUUGAAGAAUCUAUGCAUGUUGUCUUUGAUGAGAUUGUAGACCUUGAGGAAAAUCCUCUUGAGUCAAAUAAACCCAUUGCAGGUGAUGAGGAUUACUUAAGAGAAGCUCUUGAAGAGAUGUAUCAAAAUGAGAAUUAUCC